rnacentral:rRNA from 1 species
GCCGCGGUAAUACGUAUGGAGCAAGCGUUAUCCGGAUUUAUUGGGUUUAAAGGGAGCGUAGAUGGAUGUUUAAGUCAGUUGUGAAAGGUUGCGGCUCAAACGUAAAAUUGCAGUUGAUACUGGAUAUCUUGAGUGCAGUUGAGGCAGGCGGAAUUCGUGGUGUAGCGGUGAAAUGCUUAGAUAUCACGAAGAACUCCGAUUGCGAAGGCAGCCUGCUAAGCUGCAACUGACAUUGAGGCUCGAAAGUGUGGGUAUCAAACA